rnacentral:rRNA from 1 species
GGUGCUUGCACUGGUGAAGCCGAGUGGCGAACGGGUGAGUAACACGUGAGAAACCUGCCCUGGAGUGGGGAAUAACUCGAAGAAAUUCGAGCUAAUACCGCAUACCUUCUCUUCACCGCAUGGUGAGUUGAAGAAAGAUUUAUCGCUCUAGGAGGGUCUCGCGGCCUAUCAGCUAGUUGGUGAGGUAAUGGCUCACCAAGGCAUCGACGGGUAGCUGGUCUGAGAGGACGAUCAGCCACACUGGGACUGAGACACGGCCCAGACUCCUACGGGAGGCAGCAGUAGGGAAUCUUGCGCAAUGGGCGAAAGCCUGACGCAGCAAUGCCGCGUGCGGGACGAAGGCCCUAGGGUCGUAAACCGCUUUCAGUAGGGACGAAAAUGACGGUACCUGCAGAAGAAGCUCCGGCCAACUACGUGCCAGCAGCCGCGGUGAUACGUAGGGAGCAAGCGUUGUCCGGAAUUACUGGGCGUAAAGGGCUCGUAGGUGGUUGAGUAAGUCAGAUGUGAAAUCUCAGGGCCCAACCCUGAGCCUGCAUUUGAUACUGCUCUGACUAGAGUCCGGUAGGGGAGUGCGGAACUCCUGGUGUAGCGGUGAAAUGCGCAGAUAUCAGGAAGAACACCGACAGCGAAGGCAGCACUCUGGGCCGGUACUGACACUGAGGAGCGAAAGCAUGGGUAGCAAACAGGAUUAGAUACCCUGGUAGUCCAUGCCGUAAACGUUGGGCACUAGGUGUGGGGAGAACUCAACUCUCUCCGCGCCGUAGCUAACGCAUUAAGUGCCCCGCCUGGGGAGUACGGCCGCAAGGCUA